UCCUGCUCCCAGACACCUAGGCACGAGCCAUGAGGCUAGACUGCCGGGCCCCUCCUGCCUGAUCACUCCAUGUAAGGGCAGGAUCACAUGCACUGGUCCUGAAGGAUGGGGUGCUGGUGGCACCUCCCAGGCAGUGCCAGGCAAGAAGACUGGCAUGCAGCCCUUACUGCUGGGAAAAUCUUUGGAAGCUGCUGAGGGGCAUCUGGCUUGCUGUUCUCUAGAGGAAGGUCACGGUCUUCUGAGGCUCUGUGGGUGUGAGUCAGACGCUGCCCCCCUGCAUCUUGUCCCCCAGUGUGCAGUGCUCUCUCCCAGUGUGGUGAUUACUCACAGUAAUCUGCUUGUGAAAUUUGUGCUUCCUGUCCUGGAAACUAGAGGCUCUAUAAUAGAAGUUCUGAUUCUCAGAGGGUGGAAGGCUCCACUGGGGGAUAUGACUUGGCAUGGAGAUUAUGAUGGUGAGCUGAAAGAAAGACACGGUCCCUGCCCACAUAGAGAUGUGGGGGAAGCAGAUGCUAAUGAAUAAACUAAUGAACAAAAAUUACAACAUAAAAGAGAGACACGAGGGCACCUGUGCACCAGGGGAAGAGACAGAAGAGGGCAGCCAGGCCAUCUGCAAGCAAGGAUGGAGGCCUUGGAGGAAACCAAGCCCACUGCCACCUUGAUCAUGGACUUCCAGCAUCUAGGCUGCACAGUUUUGUGAGGGCUAUCCUGGAACUGCCUGGUGAAGCUGUGUGAAAGAAUCCCAGGCUGUUCACUUUUUACCAAACAAGCUUCUUUCUCCUCUUCCUUUCUUUGUUCCUAGUACAGCCUCCUUCAGGUCAUUAAAAUUCUAGUUCUGCUGAUCUUACAUCUUCUAAAACACCAGAAGAAACAGCACCUCCUGGCUCAUGGAGACUGUGAAUCUUCAGAGAUCACCCUGAUCUUUACAGUGCCUCCUUCCUGAUCUUUCACGCACAAAUAACAAAUACCAUGAAGAGAAUAGAAACUUAAAAAUAAAUAAACUACUUGGAGAAUUACAAUACAGUAGUAGCCUGUAAUUCUACUUUUCAUCUUUCCUGAAAGAGAAUCAUUGCCCCAAUACUUAAAGCUUUUAUUGUAUCUUAAAAGAAUGUUCUUAUUUCUGGUUCAGAGAGUCGUUGUGGCAUUUAUAAUUAUAUUCUGGAGACAACACUGUUGAAAUUUUGGUCUUUCACGCUAAAAGUGAUUUUUUAAAAAACAUAUAAUUGCCUAUUAAUUCCUCCCCCAAAUGGUAUGAUUUGCCAUUUAUUUUAAAAUCAUAACUCAUCUGAAACAACCCAUUUUCUGAAAUAGCACCUUGUGCCUUGGCCUUAGCAGAGCCUAACUCGGCGACACAUGGUGAUUUCUGCAGGAACGUUAAACCCAAGUCAUAACAGUGGGUAAUAUUUUAACUUAAUGGAAAACGAUCAUCAAGUUUUCUCGACAGGAAGGAAAUGAAUUUUUCUCGUUGUACAUAUUCUGAGAAAAGUAGGUGUGAGAAUAUUUCAAAGGAUGUUCUACCCGAUUCAAAUGGACUUUAAGUAUACUGUCACGACAAUGGCUUUGUGGAGUCUGGUGUCAACAAACUGAACAAACAGAGUUAUGGAGGAAAGAAUGUCUCUCAGAAACUUAUGUAAAUGAAUUUGAGAUUUCAGAAGGAUGAUUAAUCCUGCACAGUAGUUGAGUACCUUUCCCAAGGGUCUUUCUCAGAUCCCAGGUAAAUCGUCAUCUUUAUCACGUUCCUUCCCCCACUCACUCAAAGUGAAUAUCCUAUUAAACCUUCACAAACCUGUUUCAACUGGAAAUGGUGCCUGGUAAUAUUUAAAAUGUGCACGUAGUAAGUAUUCUGUGUAAGUCACAAGAACUUCAAAAUAUUUUUGUAAGACACCUGGGACCGUAGUUUAAGUUGCAUUGCAGAAGCCAUUAAUCUUGAAAAUUCUCUUUGCUCUGAUUUUGAUUUUGUCUUGGUCCUUUAUGCCACCACCCUUCAAUGAUUCUUACCUUGUCCUACUUCUGGUCACCUCUGUUUUGUUUUCAUUUUUCUGUCUCUAUAUUCAUCAACUGUCCAAAUACAAACAGCUGUCUAGAAGAGAUACACAUCCCAAGACUCUCCUCCAAACAUUUAUAGCCAAGUCAAAACAAAGGGAACAGAGACCAGAUUCAUUAUUUCAGUGGCCAAACAUCAGUUAAGGAAAUAAAAGGAAAGCAGACCAAUUUUUAACCCAUCAGGACAA